rnacentral:rRNA from 1 species
UACGUAGGGGCUAGCGUUAUCCGGAAUUACUGGGCGUAAAGGGUGCGUAGGCGGUCUUUCAAGCCAGAAGUGAAAGGCUACGGCUCAACCGUAGUAAGCUUUUGGAACUGUAAGACUUGAGUGCAGGAGAGGAGAGUGGAAUUCCUAGUGUAGCGGUGAAAUGCGUAGAUAUUAGGAGGAACACCAGUAGCGAAGGCGGCUCUCUGGACUGUAACUGACGCUAAGGCACGAAAGCGUGGGGAGCAAACAGGAUUAGAUACCCGCGUAGUCCCUGA